AGCGUGCUUCUGAGCUAUCUAAAGCAGGCGCUGCUGUUAUUUUGUGUGUUGUCUGGCUUGACUUCCUGAUCAGGUUGUGUCCAGACCAUUCACAACUCCGAGGGCCGCAAAUCUGCGUCACAGCUACGAGGACUGGGAAGGUAUCGCGGCUCUGAGAUGGGUACCCUGAGACAUGGGAGGGAGCCCAGAAACUUCACAGCUCUCCGUGGUGCAGUGUCACAAGGGUAUCCUGAGGCCCGGGAGCCCGGGAACCAUACAGCUCUGAGAAGAGGCCUCUCGGCAGAGCCGCUGCAGCUUCCAGGGGAGGUAGCCCCAAUCCCUGUUGAGCUGAGGAGCCUAGGAGCUGAGCUUCCUCCUUCUUCGUUUCUUCUUUCUUCUCUUCUUCUUCCAAAGAGAGGCUGACUUGUAGAUGUUGUCACCUGUUUUCCCUGCUACCAUGGAUUGACCUCUCUGGAAGCCAUGUUCGCCAUGAUCAUAGCCUGUGGAAGAAAUUAGGCACCAGACUUCAACACUGGUCCAGCAGAGAUUCUGCCAGUGUAGUACACAGCAAUGGAAUCAGAGAGACCCGAACCUCUAAGAUCAGCCCCGAUAUUCCCUGGACUGACCUGUGCACACGUGGAGAGGCCACUUCUCCUAUUCCGCUGGACCAAGAGGUGAAGUCAAAGCAAACCAUUCCUCAGGAAUCUGCUCUAAGACCUGCCACCAAGGACUUCAGCAUGUUGACAGAGAAAGCUGGAACGGGGCCUUAUGUUGCGGAUUCCACAUUAGACUUUUCCCCACCCGCAAGGAGGAACUGAAUAUGCAGCCUGCAAAGGCCCUUGAGCCCAAGUCCCUUGAGUUAUUUUGGUGGUAGUCUGAUCACCACAAUGGGGACUCAUCAUGACAACUAUAAAACCUGCUUUCUCGAGGCUAUUCUGCACUGAAAAGUGGCCAAAAUGUCAUAUUUAAGCUUUCUGGUCACUUUGGAACAAGCAGUUCAGAAAAUCUCAAUGCAACAUAAGGAAAGAACA